UGACAUGUUCAUAAUAAUUAAACUUUGAGGUUUUUUGAACGUUUUUCAGACAAAAUGUUUAUCUAACAUAUUGUCACAAGUGUAUUAUUAUCACGUCGCGACGUUUCAUCUGUAACUGUAGUGAUUGAACGUGACGGAUGCUGAUUUAUCACCGCCUAUCAUUAUUAUGAGUUAUUCUACAAAGUCAAUUUCAUGCAACAAAGACAACAAUGAACAGAAUGCAGCUUUGGUGGAUAGUCUAGAAUUAGCGCACGUUAAUAAAACGAGCAUCUAUUCACGUCAACGCACUGGGUAUUUAUAGAACAGUAUCGUGACUGACAGGCAGGAGGAUGCUCCUGGAGUAUUAUAGAGGUGCGUUGAAAAAUGAGUUCUUAAUCCGACGAAAAUUAUAAAGUUUGGUUUGGUAUAUAUCAAUGAAAUUUAGUUUUUUUAUAUGAAUUUAAUACAUAUACGAGUGUUGAAACUUAGAAGAUUGAAGUUUUAAUUAUAUUGCUAUAUUAAUGAGCAUCAAUCGUGCACCAAGAUUUAAUUUUUUAUUGCUUAAAUAGGUGGGCGAGCUUACAGCCCACCUGAUGUUAGUGGUUUCUGGAGCCCAUAGACAUCUACAACGUAAAUGCCGCCACCCACCUAGAGAUAUGGGUUCUCAGGUCUUAGUAUAGUCACGACAGCUGCCCCACCCUUCAAACCGAAACGCAUUACUGCUUCACGGCUGAUAUAAUAUGUAGGGUGGUGGUACCUACCCGUACGGACUCACAAGAGGUACUACCACCAGUAAUUACGAAAAUGACUUUGCGGGUUUAAUUAAAAAAAAAAAGAAAAUAAAUGCAUUUUAAUUAUAAA